GGAGCUGUGAUGAAAACAGGAUUAAAGAAGAAAUCAUUGGCAGUGGAGUGCUACAACAACUGAACUGCUUCUUUUCAGUGGAUACUAAAGCUGAGAUGGAUCAUAAUGGAAAGUGACACUGAAAAAUCACAGAGAGUCAACAAUUUGAAAAGCAGAGGUUUGCAGCCCAAAUUGCACAGGAUAUUUUAACCUGGACACCUCUUUGACCUGCACAACUCAAGGAUAAUGGUAUUUGUAUGUACAAAUAUUACA